rnacentral:rRNA from 1 species
UACAGAGGUCCCAAGCGUUGUUCGGAUUCACUGGGCGUAAAGGGUGCGUAGGUGGUUGGGUAAGUCUGAUGUGAAAUCUCUGAGCUUAACUCAGAAACUGCAUUGGAUACUAUCCGGCUGGAGGAGUGGAGGGGGGACUGGAAUACUUGGUGUAGCAGUGAAAUGCGUAGAUAUCUGGAGGAACACCGGUGGCGAAGGCGGCAUCCUGGACCGGCAUUGACGCUGAGGCGCGAAAGCCAGGGGAGCAAACGGG